rnacentral:rRNA from 1 species
GGGUUGUGAGGUUAAGCGACUAAGCGUACACGGUGGAUGCCCUGGCAGUCAGAGGCGAUGAAGGACGUGCUAAUCUGCGAUAAGCGUCGGUAAGGUGAUAUGAACCGUUAUAACCGGCGAUUUCCGAAUGGGGAAACCCAGUGUGUUUCGACACACUAUCAUUAACUGAAUCCAUAGGUUAAUGAGGCGAACCGGGGGAACUGAAACAUCUAAGUACCCCGAGGAAAAGAAAUCAACCGAGAUUCCCCCAGUAGCGGCGAGCGAACGGGGAGCAGCCCAGAGCCUGAAUCAGUAUGUGUGUUAGUGGAAGCGUCUGGAAAGGCGCGCGAUACAGGGUGACAGCCCCGUACACAAAAAUGCACAUAUUGUGAGCUCGAUGAGUAGGGCGGGACACGUGGUAUCCUGUCUGAAUAUGGGGGGACCAUCCUCCAAGGCUAAAUACUCCUGACUGACCGAUAGUGAACCAGUACCGUGAGGGAAAGGCGAAAAGAACCCCGGCGAGGGGAGUGAAAAAGAACCUGAAACCGUGUACGUACAAGCAGUGGGAGCACGCUUAGGCGUGUGACUGCGUACCUUUUGUAUAAUGGGUCAGCGACUUAUAUUCUGUAGCAAGGUUAACCGAAUAGGGGAGCCGAAGGGAAACCGAGUCUUAACUGGGCGUUAAGUUGCAGGGUAUAGACCCGAAACCCGGUGAUCUAGCCAUGGGCAGGUUGAAGGUUGGGUAACACUAACUGGAGGACCGAACCGACUAAUGUUGAAAAAUUAGCGGAUGACUUGUGGCUGGGGGUGAAAGGCCAAUCAAACCGGGAGAUAGCUGGUUCUCCCCGAAAGCUAUUUAGGUAGCGCCUCGUGAAUUCAUCUCCGGGGGUAGAGCACUGUUUCGGCAAGGGGGUCAUCCCGACUUACCAACCCGAUGCAAACUGCGAAUACCGGAGAAUGUUAUCACGGGAGACACACGGCGGGUGCUAACGUCCGUCGUGAAGAGGGAAACAACCCAGACCGCCAGCUAAGGUCCCAAAGUCAUGGUUAAGUGGGAAACGAUGUGGGAAGGCCCAGACAGCCAGGAUGUUGGCUUAGAAGCAGCCAUCAUUUAAAGAAAGCGUAAUAGCUCACUGGUCGAGUCGGCCUGCGCGGAAGAUGUAACGGGGCUAAACCAUGCACCGAAGCUGCGGCAGCGACACUAUGUGUUGUUGGGUAGGGGAGCGUUCUGUAAGCCUGUGAAGGUGUGCUGUGAGGCAUGCUGGAGGUAUCAGAAGUGCGAAUGCUGACAUAAGUAACGAUAAAGCGGGUGAAAAGCCCGCUCGCCGGAAGACCAAGGGUUCCUGUCCAACGUUAAUCGGGGCAGGGUGAGUCGACCCCUAAGGCGAGGCCGAAAGGCGUAGUCGAUGGGAAACAGGUUAAUAUUCCUGUACUUGGUGUUACUGCGAAGGGGGGACGGAGAAGGCUAUGUUGGCCGGGCGACGGUUGUCCCGGUUUAAGCGUGUAGGCUGGUUUUCCAGGCAAAUCCGGAAAAUCAAGGCUGAGGCGUGAUGACGAGGCACUACGGUGCUGAAGCAACAAAUGCCCUGCUUCCAUAGGCAAAAUGGUGCCGUAACUUCGGGAGAAGGCACGCUGAUAUGUAGGUGAAGUCCCUCGCGGAUGGAGCUGAAAUCAGUCGAAGAUACCAGCUGGCUGCAACUGUUUAUUAAAAACACAGCACUGUGCAAACACGAAAGUGGACGUAUACGGUGUGACGCCUGCCCGGUGCCGGAAGGUUAAUUGAUGGGGUUAGCCGCAAGGCGAAGCUCUUGAUCGAAGCCCCGGUAAACGGCGGCCGUAACUAUAACGGUCCUAAGGUAGCGAAAUUCCUUGUCGGGUAAGUUCCGACCUGCACGAAUGGCGUAAUGAUGGCCAGGCUGUCUCCACCCGAGACUCAGUGAAAUUGAACUCGCUGUGAAGAUGCAGUGUACCCGCGGCAAGACGGAAAGACCCCGUGAACCUUUACUAUAGCUUGACACUGAACAUUGAGCCUUGAUGUGUAGGAUAGGUGGGAGGCUUUGAAGUGUGGACGCCAGUCUGCAUGGAGCCGACCUUGAAAUACCACCCUUUAAUGUUUGAUGUUCUAACGUUGACCCGUAAUCCGGGUUGCGGACAGUGUCUGGUGGGUAGUUUGACUGGGGCGGUCUCCUCCUAAAGAGUAACGGAGGAGCACGAAGGUUGGCUAAUCCUGGUCGGACAUCAGGAGGUUAGUGCAAUGGCAUAAGCCAGCUUGACUGCGAGCGUGACGGCGCGAGCAGGUGCGAAAGCAGGUCAUAGUGAUCCGGUGGUUCUGAAUGGAAGGGCCAUCGCUCAACGGAUAAAAGGUACUCCGGGGAUAACAGGCUGAUACCGCCCAAGAGUUCAUAUCGACGGCGGUGUUUGGCACCUCGAUGUCGGCUCAUCACAUCCUGGGGCUGAAGUAGGUCCCAAGGGUAUGGCUGUUCGCCAUUUAAAGUGGUACGCGAGCUGGGUUUAGAACGUCGUGAGACAGUUCGGUCCCUAUCUGCCGUGGGCGCUGGAGAACUGAGGGGGGCUGCUCCUAGUACGAGAGGACCGGAGUGGACGCAUCACUGGUGUUCGGGUUGUCAUGCCAAUGGCACUGCCCGGUAGCUAAAUGCGGAAGAGAUAAGUGCUGAAAGCAUCUAAGCACGAAACUUGCCCCGAGAUGAGUUCUCCCUGACUCCUUGAGAGUCCUGAAGGAACGUUGAAGACGACGACGUUGAUAGGCCGGGUGUGUAAGCGCAGCGAUGCGUUGAGCUAACCGGUACUAAUGAACCGUGAGGCUUAACCUUACAACGCCGAAGGUGUUU